rnacentral:rRNA from 1 species
GACGAACGCUGGCGGCGUGCCUAAUACAUGCAAGUAGAACGCUGAAGAGAGGAGCUUGCCCUUCUUGAAGAGUUGCGAACGGGUGAGUAACGCGUAGGUAACCUGCCUUGUAGCGGGGGAUAACUAUUGGAAACGAUAGCUAAUACCGCAUAACAAUGGGUGACCCAUGUCAUUUAUUUGAAAGGGGCAAAUGCUCCACUACAAGAUGGACCUGCGUUGUAUUAGCUAGUAGGUGAGGUAACGGCUCACCUAGGCGACGAUACAUAGCCGACCUGAGAGGGUGAUCGGCCACACUGGGACUGAGACACGGCCCAGACUCCUACGGGAGGCAGCAGUAGGGAAUCUUCGGCAAUGGGGGCAACCCUGACCGAGCAACGCCGCGUGAGUGAAGAAGGUUUUCGGAUCGUAAAGCUCUGUUGUAAGUCAAGAACGAGUGUGAGAGUGGAAAGUUCACACUGUGACGGUAGCUUACCAGAAAGGGACGGCUAACUACGUGCCAGCAGCCGCGGUAAUACGUAGGUCCCGAGCGUUGUCCGGAUUUAUUGGGCGUAAAGCGAGCGCAGGCGGUUUGAUAAGUCUGAAGUUAAAGGCUGUGGCUCAACCAUAGUUCGCUUUGGAAACUGUCAAACUUGAGUGCAGAAGGGGAGAGUGGAAUUCCAUGUGUAGCGGUGAAAUGCGUAGAUAUAUGGAGGAACACCGGUGGCGAAAGCGGCUCUCUGGUCUGUAACUGACGCUGAGGCUCGAAAGCGUGGGGAGCGAACAGG